rnacentral:rRNA from 1 species
AGUCGAGCGGAGGUUAUUGAGUAGUAAUACGAGAUGACCUUAGCGGCGGACGGGUGAGUAACGCGUGAGCAACCUGGCCUAUACAGGGGGAUAACAGGGAGAAAUUCCUGCUAAUACCGCAUAAGACCACAGUAUCGCAUGGUACUGGGGUCAAAGGAGAGAUUCGGUAUAGGAUGGGCUCGCGUCCCAUUAGCUAGUUGGGGGUGCAACGGACCACCAAGGCGACGAUGGGUAGCCGACCUGAGAGGGUGAUCGGCCACACUGGGACUGAGACACGGCCCAGACUCCUACGGGAGGCAGCAGUAGGGAAUAUUGGACAAUGGGGGAAACCCUGAUCCAGCAACGCCGCGUGAAGGAAGAAGGUCUUCGGAUUGUAAACUUAUGUUGUCGGGGACGAAGAAAGACGGUACCCGACGAGGAAGCCCCGGCUAACUACGUGCCAGCAGCCGCGGUAAUACGUAGGGGGCGAGCGUUGUCCGGAAUUACUGGGCGUAAAGGGCGCGUAGGCGGCCAAUUAAGUUAGAUGUGAAAUCCCCGGGCUUAACCUGGGUGUUGCAUUUAAAACUGAUAGGCUUGAGUGCAGGAGAGGGAAGCGGAAUUCCUAGUGUAGCGGUGGAAUGCGUAGAUAUUAGGAGGAACACCAGUGGCGAAGGCGGCUUUCUGGACUGUAACUGACGCUGAGGCGCGAGAGCGUGGGGAGCAAACAGGAUUAG